rnacentral:rRNA from 1 species
CAGCCGCCGCGGUAAUACGUAGGGGGCGAGCGUUACCCGGAUUCACUGGGCGUAAAGCGGGUGUAGGCGGCUCGGUAAGUCGGGUGUGAAAUCCCACAGCUCAACUGUGGAAUUGCGCCCGAAACUGCUGAGCUUGGGGCCGGUAGAGGGAGACGGAACUGCCGGUGUAGGGGUGAAAUCCGGAGAUAUCGGCAGGAACGCCGGUGGGGAAGCCGGUCUCCUGGGCCGCGCCCGACGCUGAGACCCGAAAGCUAGGGGAGCAAACCGGAUUAGAUACCCGGGUAGUCCUAGCCGUAAACGAUGCCCACUAGGUGUGGGGGAUUAAUUCCUCCGUGCUGGAGCUAACGCGUUAAGUGGGCCGCCUGGGGAGUACGCCCGCAAGGGUGAAACUUAAAGGAAUUGGCGGG